UCCUCGAAGCUGUCCUUGGCGC
rnacentral:siRNA from 1 species